rnacentral:rRNA from 1 species
GCCGACAGCUAGCUUUCUGUAACUCUUACAUGGCUACUAAAGCUAAGCAUGGUUGCACUCGGUCAGUACCUGGACGGGAGACCACAUGGGAAAGCUAGGUUGCUGCCGGAA